rnacentral:tRNA from 1 species
UGCGGGGUGGAGCAGUUGGUAGCUCGUCGGGCUCUGAGGUCAUCAGUUCGAGUCUGGUCCCCGCUACCU